CGUUAAAGGGGCCUCAAUGAUCAGUUGAUGUCUCUGUGUUCUCACGCUCCUUUAGGGCUUGAAUGUUGAAUAAUCUUAAUUGUUUUCAGAGGGUGGACUGGUUAGGGAACUUAAAACUACCAUCUGUGUUGCACUGGAGGUCCAGGUUUCCAAUUUUUCAAAAGAUUACGGAACUUGACAUGGUAUGAUAAAAUCAGCUCAACUUUAAAAGUUGGCAGCUUCUUUUUAAAUUAUGGAUGUGCCAACUUUCUGAGAAUCACAUCUGGCUGAAGAGUUGUCAAUUGGCUAGAAAGCUCCAUGGAAGUUUGUUGAUCAUGGCUCCAUUAGAGAAAGAUAACAUCUAUGAAUGAGACAGAUAUAUAAUUUCGUUUAUUAUAGGAAUUUGUCCUUACACAUUUGGGAGACCUGGUUAAACAAUCUAGGUAAGGUUGUCUUUGCUGGAGCUUGAAGUCAGUGGGAUGGGAAUCAGGAAAAAAAGAUGGAUGUGAAGUGGGGAAGAAUGAUGAUGAACUGGAACCCACGACAAUCUCCCACCACUUCUGUCUUUCUUCCUGAAACUCAGCAUGUACCUAGCCCAGGAGUUGGAGAAGCUAGAAGAAAAUUGGUGGGAGCCAAAAGACUAAAGUCUCGGCUGCUGCCCCACACUAACAAGGUGAUCGAGCAGGUGAUCUCCAACAGUGCCUGUGGCUCUGCACUGAUUUUCCAGCACAAAAGGAGUAUGGCAGAUGCUGCAUUCUCACCUUCCAAACCUCAUGCAGCCAUGCUAACUCAGGGAAGGAUUUUGGGAAAUGUUGUUCCAGCUCAGUCCUUCUGACGUGAACUGGAACAACACCAUCAGCUCUCCCGGAUCUCCAGCUUGCAGACAGCAGAUCAUGGGACUUUUCAGCUUCUGUAAUUGUGAGGUGGUUGAGAACCAUUGACGUAGACUGACUUAGCAGAUCUUCAAACGUGAAUAGGGAAUCCUGCCAUUCCACUGAUGAGAACAGCAUGCUUAGGAUAUUGCUUCUGAGAACAGCUGUGCUGUUUGAUCAACACUAAUGAACCAACAGCCAUAUUGAAGAGCCUGGUCUGUAUCAAUGUAAUGGGACAUGUGAAGUAACGGUGAGUGAGAUUUUAAUGCCAGGCAACUUUAAGAACAUGAUAUUGGCUACCAUCAUGUUCAACUCCAUGGUCCAAUUAAUUAGUUUUCUGCCUGGAUAUUAAUAAUUUUGACAAUAAAAUUAUGACAUCAUUUUCCUGCAACACUUGUGACUCAUCUUCUAUUUUUGAGUUAAGCUUUUUCAGAGUCUGAUUCAAAGGAACUGCAGAGGCCUAGGGUUUUCCAAUUAAAGUCCAUGGCAAGUAUCACUGACAGAUUUAGAUUCAUAAACCAUAAGUGAAUCCAUAUUAUAUACCAUGGAUGUGCUUUUUGAGUUGGGCAUUCUAGCUGGUAUCCAGUACCAGCUCCAUUUGUGGCAGGAGGCAAGGGAGGUUCAGAGCGGUUAAACAUUGUGGCCAAGACCAUGUGCUUAGAGACUUGUAGAUUAAACCCAGGUCUCUGAUUCCUCACUAGUAUGUUUUCAUAAUAAUCCAUGGUUCUGAUUGUUUAAAAGUAGCUUUUAUAUUGGGUAGAAAUAUCUUCCUGUAACAUAUGUCAUCUGCAGCUUCCAUAGGUAAAUACACACAGUUUAUAAAGACAAGCAUUCUGGCUAUUUUGAAGUUUUUUUAUCCAGGCUGAAGAGGAUAUUUGACAGAUCCUCCAGCAAGUAGACUAGAGUGAUCUUCUUGGUCAUCCUACCCUGCAGGAAAUGGGAGGCCCACCUUCUGCUCUUACUCUUGAUAUAUCCAUUUCCUUCUCAUCCUUCGAGACUCACUUAAAUGUCACUUCUUUAGAGAGGCCUUCCCUGACCAUCCCUUCUAUCACUUAGUGACAUUUCCUUCAUGCCACUGGACACAAUUUGCAAUUAUUUAUUUGUCUCUUUACUUGUUUUAAUUUAUCUCUUCUUCUAGAUUAAACUCUGUAAAUGUGAUAAUUCUACUUGGUUUAUGCCCAGCAUCAAGGUGUGCAGGAAAUAUUUGUUUGAAUUGACUUCCCUCUUAGAACCUGCUGCCUCGUGUUGAAUGCAAUGCUCUUGCUAUGCUCUGAGCAAGGUCCAGGGCCAAAUGAGCACACUUUCCUUUCUUUCCCUUCUUGGUAUGAUUCUGAACAACUUAAGAUUAUUAUUGCAGUCUAGUUGCAUUAGAAUUGGCAGUCUCAUUAGAGUUAUCUUUCACUGAACUUAGAAAAAAAAUAUGAUGCUAGGGCCAUAUUUUGUUAUGUUACCUUUUAGAUUUUCCAUAAGGGCCACAGUUUCUCCCUCUUAAUAUAUCUUAAAUACCUUAUUCUUACUUCUAACUUUUUAGCAAUUUCAUGCCACCUAUAAUUUUUUAUUCCAAAUUUCUUAGAGGGGAAUGUAGGAUAUUUCUUUAAAGCUUGAGCUUCAGACUCAGGAUUUUGAGCCCAAGCACCUCAUCUGCUGGAUGUCUGCUGGAUGUUUCACCUUGGAGAAGGCUUUUUGAGGCUAAGCUGUUUCUCAUGUUCAAAAGAGAUAUUGGUGUCUUCUUUGUAGCACUGUUAUAAAGAUGAAAUGUGGAAAUGUAGGUGAAGCCUUAGGAUAUGGCAGUGAUUGGUGUUAGUGUAGUCAUUCCCCCCUCAAACUGGUUAGAACUGAUUAUUUAUUUCUUUUGUUCCUAACUCUAAUCCCCUCUCUGGUGUUCCUGAUCCACAAGAGGCAUCCUGUUGUAUGUAGUGGCCACAUAACAGACUGCAAAGAACUGGAAAGCAGAGUAAUUUUAAUCCAAAAUGUUCAAAGGACCAAGACAAGUGGCAAGCCAUAUGAUGACUGACCAGAAACGUUAGAAAGAAUGGAAGAUGGUUUCCUGAAGCUUCGCUACUCUGGAGGUGGAAUGAAUUGUGCCAAAUGUCAACUUUUAUGGCUCAAUGAGCCCUUUCCUGAGCCUGUCAACAGUGAACUAAAGAAAUACAAUCUCUGUUUCUCCAGUCAACGGUAGAACAGUGCUUGCACUCCCGAUAUUUAUGGAUAUAUUUAUACAAUUCUCACAAACCUGACACCAAUGGCCUGGGAUCAAUGUAGACAAGUGGUAAAGAAAAACAGAAUGAUUCUCUGAAAGGAUGCAUAUUAAAAAAAAUAAAAGAUUUGUGUUCUGAAUGGCUUGUUUUGAGAAAAAGAUGUGCUUCAACUGAGAUCUACAUGAUGUAGCAAAUAAAAACAGGUAUGAAAA